UAUAUGGAAUUGGAUUACACUCGCCACAAGCUACAUCUGAGUCACAUCACUACAACAAGAUACAGUCAUCAUGAAGAAGAGAAGGGUCCAACUACAGACGAAAACAAACGAUAAAAGAACGAUGUCCAUCCUUGCUAUCCCAGGCUGCCGGCCUGGAACCCAUCCUAGAUCGACAAAGAAGAAGGAGAAACUCCAAAUGAACAAUCAUCGCGCUCAUGUCUUAAUAUCACUUUACCUGUACACGCAACUGGUGUUGUAGUAAUC
rnacentral:lncRNA from 1 species